rnacentral:piRNA from 1 species
UGGUCUUUGUGCGUCCAUUGGUUCUUU